GGCGGGAUGGAGCAGAGAAAGCUUGCCGGGGUCAUGACCCGGAGGUCGCUGGUUAAAGUCCAGCUCCCGCAACCA
rnacentral:tRNA from 1 species